rnacentral:rRNA from 1 species
ACGGCGAGUGAAGCGGCAACAGCUCAAAUUUGAAAUCUGGCGCAAGCCCGAGUUGUAAUUUGUAGAGGAUGCUUCUGGGCAGCGGCCGGUCUAAGUUCCUUGGAACAGGACGUCAUAGAGGGUGAGAAUCCCGUAUGCGACCGGCUUGCACCCGUCACGUAGCUCCUUCGACGAGUCGAGUUGUUUGGGAAUGCAGCUCUAAAUGGGAGGUAAAUUUCUUCUAAGGCUAAAUACCGGCCAGAGACCGAUAGCGCACAAGUAGAGUGAUCGAAAGAUGAAAAGCACUUUGGAAAGAGAGUUAAAAAGCACGUGAAAUUGUUGAAAGGGAAGCUCACGCAACCAGACUUGUCGGCGGUGUUCCGCCGGUCUUCUGACCGGUCUACUCGCCGCCGGCAGGCCAGCAUCACUUGGGAGCGCCGGAUAAAGGCGUGCGGAAUGUAGCCCCUCGGGGCAUUAUAGCCGCGCGUACAAUACGGCGCCUCCCGAGUGAGGUCCGCGCUUCGGCUAGGAUGCUGGCGUAA